rnacentral:tRNA from 1 species
GAGGGUAUAGCUCAGUGGUAAAGUGCAUGCUUAGCAUGCAUGAAGUCCUGGAUUCAAUACCCAGUACCUCCA